CAUCCAGGGCUCACACUUAUUCAGAGAUGCAGGGUUUUGACUGCAGACAUUCAUUAAAAUGCUCAGUGUUCUUUUUUUCUUUUCUUUUCUUUUCUUUUUUUUUUUGAGGCAGAGCCUUGCUUCGUUACCAGGCACCAGGCUGAAGUGCAGUGGCACAAUCUCGGCUCACUGCAACCUCCACUUCCCGGAUUCAAGCAAUUCUUCUGCCUCAUCCUCCCGAGUACCUGGGACUAGAGGUACACUCAAAGGCAGAGGAAAAAACAACUAAAGAAGAAAACUGGAAUUGAAUGAUGACCUAGUCAUUUUCAACCUGUUUCAAAUACCAAAACUGUUCAGCAUUAAAAAACCCACAAAACAUCUGAAUCAGAGAGAACCUGCUGAUAAAAAAAGAUCCAAGAGUCUUGACUAUUCCAAAACAGAAUUUUAGAGCAGGAAAAAAACAAUGAGUGUCACUAAUCUCCAUCAUUUCACUACAGAGGACAAUGAAGCAUAAUGGGUACUGCAGAAUUGACCCCAACUUAAGGCAAUGGGGCUAGACUUUUGCAUGCAUAGGUCAUUGAAUGUAGGCCACCUGGAGGUGGAGGACAAGCAUAACUUCCUGGGUGAGCAACUUUCAGGGCAGCUGUGAGCCAUUGCAGCCAACUCUGAAAUUGAGGGCUGGUGUACCAAUCCAGUAAUGGGACUCUGGGCAGGGCACCAACAGCAUCUUCCACGGAGUCAAAAUUCAAACUCAUGUCUCCAAACUUCUACAGACCUUCUUUACAGUAAGUUGUGUUGUCCAAAGGAUACUUUCCCCUCUCCCCCUUCUCAUUAAACCUUAACCUCUUUUGCUUUCCUCCCUCUCAUUUAUUGUAAUAGUAAGCCAGGCAAAACAAAUCAAACCACAUUUAUUUCCUCCUGCCCGUUUCUUCAGCUGCUCAUCAUUGUGAGAAGCUGUGUUCAGUGUUCCUGAUGACAUCAGGUUACUGCUUCGACAUGCUGCAUUAUUUUGUGUCCUUGAAGAAGUAUGGAUUUUAGGAUUAUGUCAGUAAUGAUAGAUCUAAAAUUCACAUUUACAGCCUAGGUCCCAAUCUCUUACUUCUUUCUUAACAGAAUGCAAGAAAAAAGUAUUUAGAUCAAAUGAAUUCACUUAUAAACAACACACUGAAAAUGCAAAGAUAAUAGAAAUAAAAAGCUGAACCAGAGGGGAAGAUUCA
rnacentral:lncRNA from 13 species